rnacentral:snoRNA from 1 species
CCUGCCCCAGCUCGUGUUGCAGGUGUGGCUGUGGUGCCACAUCUGUGUCAUUGGGUGGCAGAGAGCAAAAGGCUGUGUCUUUGCUAGUGUUCUGAAACCUGUGAGCACUUGGGAAUGACGAGCAACCUGACAAU